GACGAACGCUGGCGGCGUGCUUAACACAUGCGAGUCGAACGGAAAGGCCCUGCUUGCAGGGUACUCGAGUGGCGAACGGGUGAGUAACACGUGGGUGAUCUGCCCUGCACUUCGGGAUAAGCCUGGGAAACUGGGUCUAAUACCGGAUAGGAGCCAUUUUUAGUGUGAUGGUUGGAAAGUUUUUUCGGUGUAGGAUGAGCUCGCGGCCUAUCAGCUUGUUGGUGGGGUAAUGGCCUACCAAGGCGGCGACGGGUAGCCGGCCUGAGAGGGUGGACGGCCACAUUGGGACUGAGAUACGGCCCAGACUCCUACGGGAGGCAGCAGUGGGGAAUAUUGCACAAUGGGCGCAAGCCUGAUGCAGCGACGCCGCGUGGGGGAUGACGGCCUUCGGGUUGUAAACUCCUUUCGCUAGGGACGAAGCUUUUUGUGACGGUACCUAGAUAAGAAGCACCGGCUAACUACGUG
rnacentral:rRNA from 1 species